rnacentral:rRNA from 1 species
GGGUUAGUAGGUUGGUCAUGCCUCUGGUAUGUACUGGUCUCACUGAUUCCUCCUUCCUGAUGAACCGUAACGCCAUUAAUUUGGUGUUGCGGGGAAUUUGGACUGUUACUUUGAAAAAAUUAGAGUGUUUAAAGCAGGCCAAUUGCUUGAAUACAUUAGCAUGGAAUAAUGGAAUAGGACGUUCGAUCCUAUUUUGUUGGUUUCUAGGAUUGUCGUA